AUCCGCGCCAGCGGCCACCUCCCCGGCCCGCAACCGGCCUCAGGGGCCGAGAUUGCGGCCCGAGGUCCGGAAGCGGCGUCCAGCGCUGUCAGCGGGCGGAGUUCCUGUUUUAGUUGGCUUCUCUUCAUUGGAAGAAACAGAUUCACUCAAGUGACUUCAAGAAGAAUAGAGUUUAUUAUGAGGAUGCAGGUAAAAGAGCAUUUGUGGGGCCGGGCUCGGUGUCUCACACCUGUAAUCCCAGCACUUUGGGAGGCCAAGGCAGGUGGAUCACAAGGUCAGGAGUUCAAGACCAGCCUGGCCAAUAAGGUCUGAGCUCCCCUCGGAGCUACCUAGGCAUGCGACAGACCCCAAACAACACUGCAGCCUUUGAAAACUGAAAGGAGACAGGAAUCACUAUCCACAGAAAGCCAGACAGAACUUCCAGAAUGUCAGGCCUCUGAGCCCAAGCCAAGCCAAGCCAUCGCAUCCCCUGUGACUUGCAUGUACACAUCCAGAUGGCCUGAAGUAACUGAAGACACAAAAGAAGUAAAAAUAGCCUUAACUGAUGACAUUCCACCAUUGUGAUUUGUUUCUGCCCCACCCUAACUGAUCAAUGUACUUUGUAAUCUCCCCCACCCUUAAGAAGGUACUUGGUAAUCAAUCUCCCCCACCCUUAAGAAGGUUCUUUGUAAUUCUCCCCACCCUUGAGAAUGUAUUUUGUGAGAUCCACCCCUGCCUGCAAAACAUUGGUCUUAACUUCACCGCCUAUCCCAAAACCUGUAAGAACUAAUGAUAAUCCACCACCCUUUGCUGACUCUCUUUUCGGACUCAGCCCACCUGCACCCAGGUGAUUAAAAGCUUUUAUUGCUCACACAAAGCCUGUUUGGUGGUCCCUUCACAUGGAUGCGCAUGAAACAGAGAACAUGCAAGAAUGGCAACCAUGCUGUCAAGGGUUCCAACACCUCUCUGGC
rnacentral:lncRNA from 1 species